AACCUGUAUUCAUUAUUGAGUAUAAUGUGAUAAAUUAUGGAACAUGUUUUAGGUAAUUAUAUUUGGGUUUUCCUUUGAGAAAAGAUCUUUUUACUUUUUUCUCUUAUUGCAUUUUCUAAUUGUUUGCUUGUUUUCUUUUGUGAUUGCUUGUAACUUAUUUAAAGCCAGAUGUUAGUCUUGUAUCUACGAAUGUCUUUUUUUUUAUAUAUAUAUAUAUACACACAAUUUUCUCAAUCAAUUUUAUAGUAAAAUCUUGAGUUAAAGUGUUUUUUUCGCUCCAUAAUAUCACCUGAGAAAAUUAACUUAAAUGGAUUGCUCUCUACAUUUAUGACAUUUCUUAGAAAAAUUUGCCUCCUCCACAUCUAAUUUACAACGCCAUUUAGUUGUGUUGGUGUAGUAGGUAGUUUGACAAUAACACUAAACCCCGUCUUACGUACGCUGCUGAUUGAAAUGUUGGUUUUGUGGAAAAAACUCAGCAAAUUAUUAACAUGUUGAGUUCUGUGUUUGGACACUUAUAUUAUAAUAAGAAACAUCGGAUGUUACUAUCCAGGUAGGUGAUAUAUGAUGUCUUGUUCAUGAUGUUACUCUACAGACUCUCAACAGAAGAACUGCUUCCGUAAAAGCUGAUCUUGAUUUGAUUUUUCAUGUUGGAGGGGGGGGGACUAGCUGUGAACAAUGUCUUGGAUGGUGUAUGGCAUUGCUGCCGACGUAAAGACAGGCCGGGCAAUAAAAAAAAAGAAAAAAGAAUACAUAACAGUUACAUGUACAAACAACAAUAAAGUAAAACAAAUAUUUUCAAGUAUUUCCCUACUAGAGGAAAACAAUAAAUAUUUUGAUAAAACUUCAUUUAUGAAAACUUUUAAUUAUCUUUAUUCUAUUCAAACUUGUUUUAAAAUAUUCUAUUUUAAAUUUUAAUCAUUCUAAAAUCAUGAAUUACCAAUUAAUUUAAGAUAGGAGUCAAGUGCACCCACACGAGCAGGUUUCGAGCUCACAACCUCUGUGACAGUGUUGACUGUUUAGUGAUUACAUUACUUCGACCACCCGGUCACCGAGGCCCCUGUGUAAAUGUUUGAAUUGUGACAAUUGUUUUGGACUUAUUCUGCAGGGACAACAACAAAC
rnacentral:lncRNA from 1 species